rnacentral:rRNA from 1 species
CUACGGGGGGCAGCAGUGGGGAAUAUUGGACAAUGGGCGAAAGCCUGAUCCAGCGACGCCGCGUGAGUGAUGAAGUAUUUCGGUAUGUAAAGCUCUAUCAGCAGGGAAGAUAAUGACGGUACCUGACUAAGAAGCACCGGCUAAAUACGUGCCAGCAGCCGCGGUAAUACGUAUGGUGCAAGCGUUAUCCGGAUUUACUGGGUGUAAAGGGAGCGUAGAUGGCAUCACAAGUCAGAAGUGAAAGCCCGGGGCUUAACCCCGGGACUGCUUUUGAAACUGUGGAGCUGGAGUACAGGAGAGGCAAGCGGAAUUCCUAGUGUAGCGGUGAAAUGCGUAGAUAUUAGGAGGAACACCAGUGGCGAAGGCGGCUUGCUGGACUGCAACUGACAUUGAGGCUCGAAAGCGUGGAGAGCAAACAGGAUUAGAUACCCUCGUAGUC